rnacentral:tRNA from 1 species
GGUGGUUGUAGCUCAGUGGUAGAGCAUCAGUUUGUGGUACUGAAUGUCGCGGGUCCGAUUCCCGUCAGCCACCG